AUCGGUAGGUGAGGCUACCAUGGGGAUCCGGAUCUAUUCCAAAGACUGCUGCCGCACAGUUGUGGAGACACAACCAGCUGGUCAACAGGCCGCGUCGACAACAAGGCGCCGCUUAAUGCAGUUGCUACGCCCCGUGAAGCUAAAGCUUGGACGAAG
rnacentral:sRNA from 1 species